rnacentral:rRNA from 1 species
UACGUAGGUCCCGAGCGUUGUCCGGAUUUAUUGGGCGUAAAGCGAGCGCUGGUGGUUUAUUAAGUCUGGUGUAAAAGGCAGUGGCUCAACCAUUGUAUGCAUUGGAAACAGGUAGACUUGAGUGCAGGAGAGGAGAGUGGAAUUCCAUGUGUAGCGGUGAAAUGCGUAGAUAUAUGGAGGAACACCGGUGGCGAAAGCGGCUCUCUGGCCUGUAACUGACACUGAGGCUCGAAAGCGUGGGUAGCAAACAGG